AGUUUGAUCCUGGCUCAGGAUGAACGCUGGCGGCGUGCCUAACACAUGCAAGUCGAACGAAGCGUGCGGAUGGAAUUUCUUCGGAGAGGAAGCCUGCAUGACUGAGUGGCGGACGGGUGAGUAACGCGUGGGCAACCUGCCCUGCACAGGGGGACAACAGCCGGAAACGGCUGCUAAUACCGCAUAAGCGCACAGCUUCGCAUGGAGCGGUGUGAAAAGCUGCGGCGGUGCAGGAUGGGCCCGCGUCUGAUUAGCUGGUUGGCGGGGCAACGGCCCACCAAGGCGACGAUCAGUAGCCGGCCUGAGAGGGUGGACGGCCACAUUGGGACUGAGACACGGCCCAGACUCCUACGGGAGGCAGCAGUGGGGAAUAUUGCACAAUGGGGGAAACCCUGAUGCAGCGACGCCGCGUGAGCGAAGAAGUAUUUCGGUAUGUAAAGCUCUAUCAGCAGGGAAGAAAUUGACGGUACCUGAGUAAGAAGCUCCGGCUAAAUACGUGCCAGCAGCCGCGGUAAUACGUAUGGAGCAAGCGUUAUCCGGAUUUACUGGGUGUAAAGGGAGCGUANGCGGCCUGUCAAGUCUGAUGUGAAAUACCGGGGCUCAACCCCGGGGCUGCAUUGGAAACUGGCAGGCUGGAAUGUCNGANAGGCAGGCGGGAAUUCCUANUGUAGCGGUGAAAUGCGUAAAUAUUANGAGGAACACCAUGGCGAAGGCGGGCCUGCUGGACAAUGAAUGGACCCUAAGGCUCGAAAAGCUUGGGGAGCCAACCGGGAUUAAAUACCCCUGGUAAUUCCCGCCCGUAACCAAGGAAAGCCAGGGG
rnacentral:rRNA from 1 species